CCAAGGAAAUUGAUUCAUCAUGAAGUACUACUUUCCACUUCAUUUCAUCAUGAAUUUAACUUACUUAACAGACCAAAAUAACUAUGGUACUGUAAUACAUCAAAUACUCCACGCACUGUGCUUUGAGCAAGAGCACUCAGGGUCACUGCCUGGUGACAGCAGCCAGCAGCCAAUGAAGACACGCUUAUAAUCCAAAUGCUAAAGAAUGUUUGGAUACAUGGAAUGUGAAUAUAUCUAUUUACAGGCAGGAAAAAAAUUAACAAUCUGUUUAAUUCUUCAUUGCAAAUAAAAUUCCAAAUAUAUUUAUACAAUGUUUACAAAGGAAAAACACGAGAACCAUGAGGGUUUUCAUUUGGGUCCAGGCACUGUGCCUGCUCUCGGGGAAAUGUCUUCACCAUUCUCUACACACACACACCUUAUUUCUGCAAUGGAGAGAGAAGCACAGGAAUGGCAAUUUUGCACAAUCAGAAUGUCAUGCAGACAGUUGACAACAGAGAAGUGAGAAAUUAGUUGUCCUCUUCAGUUUGCUGUCCAUUUGCCACCUGUUACAUUUUUUUCAGAGAUUAGAUUUAAAACAACAAAAAUUAGAGAAAAGAGCACAAUAUGUUUAAGGCAUAUUAAGCAAAUUUAGAACAGCCUCUCUUUCUGUUAAGUAGAUAUGGAGAUUUUACCCCAAAGCAAAACAAACAGAAGUAUACCCUCCUGAGGUUGGGUUGCUUAUGUCGUAGACACAUUUUUGAAAAUUAUUCUGCACCAAGUAUCCUUUUGAAAUUUUAAAUGAAAAGACUUGUUGAUCACAAAAUGCAUGAUUUUAUGUUUCUAAAUAAAACAACAGUAGCUGAGGUAGUUAGAUGUGAAACUUAUUUUACUUAAAAUAAUGAGAAUGAAGGCAAAUAUUAGUAGCAAAAAUCCUUGUCAUUUGGGAGCAGGUUUAUAUUGUGCAAUGGCUUAAUUCUGAGCAAAACACUUCUAUUUAUCCACUAGAUGGAUAAAUAGUUAAACCACAAUAUUAGUAGUAGGAGUAUUUGUUUCCAAUCUGCCUGAUAGGAUGUAUGUGCAAAUGAAGUUUGUAUUCCCAGCAUCACAUUUGCAGCUCAUACUUUCAUCAUUUCUGCAUUGGAGGCCAUCAUAUGAAAUGGCAUUGUCAUUACUAGAAACUCCAAUCUUAAAGAAAAUAGUAAAAAUGGAAGUAAAAAUCAAUAGGAAGGAUGGUUUCACUCUCACUUUAAUAAUAUUUGUCUUGGCCUAUUUGGUUUCAAAGGGUGAGGAAGCCUCUGGCUCACUGGUUUCUCUCUUCCUUCCGAAAAUGGGAAAACAUAUUUUCAUAUCCUUCACUAUAUCUUUCUUGGGUCAACAGAGCUGUCUGGCUACUGAAGAAAAGCAAAAACUAUUUAGUAGAAGUAGGUUCUCACCCAAGGAUAACUAGAGUCCUCCUUUGUCCUGCCCCUUUGAUCAAAGCAAAGAUUCAGGUGGGAACUUCAAUAAGCAAUGAACUAAAAGAUUCAUUCUUUCAUUAUCCCACAUCAUCUAGAUAUGAAAGGAAUUUUGUGACAGUAAUAUUCCAGUGUAUGGUUGAAUUAGGAAACAUUCCUUUGAUCAAAGAAUCUCUUUCUCUCCCUCUCUCUCUCCCUCCCCCCCUUGAGCUCUCUUUCUCUCCCUCUCUCUCUCUCUCUCUCUCUCUCACCCCCCCAUCUGUGUCUGUGUGUGUGUGUUUAAAUCAUUUUUUAGGAAGAGAAUGUUAGUCAAAAGUAGCCAAGAAACUUGACAACUACCUUUAUAGAUCAUCAUAUGUUUGAUGUUUACAAAACACCCUGUCCACAACAUAUAUCUCUUACUUAUAUCUUUACAUAUAUCUCUACUAAAAAUCAGUUUUUCUAACAGUAUCUUAUUGUCAGGGAUGGGCCUUAGAGAGUUCCACAUGGUCUAGGGAGCCUAAGAGACUAAAGUCACCUUCUCUCUAUAAUUAGGUGUAUAGCUUAUAUCUAAGUAACACAUGGUCACUACUUGUUUUUCAUUUGUUUGAGGAAGAAUUUAGGCUCUAACACGUUUGUUUUACUUCUGUUUUGUCUCUUUGUGAUAAAAUCUCUUCCUGACAUUUUCCUUGCUCUGCCCACCUCUCAUCCUAACAAACCCACCCAAAAUGCUGCCACUUUCUAUUCCAAGCCCCUGAAUCAAGUUCAAAGAUUUAACUUUAUUUUUUGUAUAAAAGCAAAUAAAAACUUUUUGUUUCAUAGCAAAAAGGAUAUUCUACUGCACUUUUUGGUUUGAAAAAUAUUGAUGGUACUGGUAGAAACUGGGGAAGGGAGCAGCUAGUAAUAUCAAAUUAGUUCUGAUUUACUAUAUUAAUAUUACUAGUUUAUAAAAAAUAAUACUUAUUUUAAUGCUGUGGCAGUACAGAUUUUUAAAUGGAUCAGAUAAUUGCCCAGGUUAAAAUAAAGCUUCAGAAAUCUUAACAUCAUGCAUUAGAAAUGUUCUAUUUGAAAUUAUAAGGCUUUGAUUUUAGAAUAACAUUUUAGAAACUGGAAGAGAUUAGACUGAUUGUGAACAUUAUGUCAGCUCCAAGCAUGACAUGAUUUAAAACCCACUCCUCAUGGUAAAUUUUCUGAACACUAUUUCAUAUUUUUAAGGGUGUACAGUUUUGCACAAGGGCAUAAUUAUUAAAUAAGGGUACAACGAUAAUAUUUAGGUACAACAACUUUACUUCAUGAAGUCACAUGUUAAAGCAUUAUCUGCAUUGUUAGUAUAGUUUCAUAGUUAUAUUCCUACCUCACAAUAGUGCCUCUGUGACCCAAAAAUUACAAAUAUUUAUAAUUCCAAAUCAUGGUGAUUAGGAUUCAUUCUGAUCAGGUUUAAUUAUUUAAAUAAGAGAAAACAUAUUUCUUUGGGGAAAUUGUACAGAAUAUUCUCUGAGGUGGUUUUCAGCCAUCUCUUUUGUCCUCCAGUAGAAUUCAUAUCUACACACAUAAAAGCACAUGGAUAUCCAUAUAUUGCUGAAGUACUUGUGUAACACUUCUCUGAAAUAUUUAAAAUACAUUUAUAAUGUGAGAAUGAAUCAACUCAGGAGUUAUAAGCAGAAACAAAGCUUUACAUUCUUCUACUGGGCUUUAAAGGGGGUGAUCAUUGUCUCAAAGGACUCAAAAUCUAAUUUCAGUAAAAUCUGUUAAACAUUUCCCCGCCCCUGCCCAGAAUGGAUUUCAGGGCACACUUGCCAUUAUUAGUUCUGAGCUGGAGUAUCAUGCAGAAGCUCUGGAAAAUGCAUGGGACCACACAUGCAAACUCCUUAGACAUCAGCAGAAAUCAGGUUUUCUGGAUGUAUUUAAAUAAACAUUUAGUAAAAUCCAGUUUGGUAAAGAGGAAAAUGGUCUAUCUAUAAGAAUUCCAAUGUCUCUAUCAAAGGAGUUAAUGUAGUAAAAAGUUGACAAUUUAAAAAAAAUUCUACACAGAACUUUGAAGGAAAGUUUUACCUAUAUCAAGUGAUGCAGAAUAAUUGUGUUCUUUGCUUGGUUAGUUAUUGCUGUCAUGUUUCUCAGACAACUCUAACACCCUUCUGCCUAGCCUACCUUCUGUGCUCCUCAAAGUUCUCCUUUGUGUCCCUGUUAGGAAGAAUAACAGUGCUUUCUAACCUCAUGGCAUAGUACCGACUCUUAUUAACCUUCACAAAACCCCUAUGAGGUAGGUAAAUAAAUAUUCUCUCCCUUUCCUAUACGGGAAAAAUGAGGCUGAAGUGAGUUUCUGAGUUUCUGAGGCUGAAGACCAGGGAUUAGGACUCAGGUGUGUGCAGAUUCAUAGUUCUUUUGUUCCACCACUGGAGCAUAGGCCCUCAUGUCCUUGCAUCAAGAAAGAAUAUAUUCUAUAGGAUAAGAUGAUAUUAUUUUGUAGAAUAAGUUUAAAUACAUUUAAAACAGUCAUUGUAUUCAACAUAAGGGUUUUUGAUUUUCUAUUAAAGCAUAAAUUCCAUAUCAAUGAUCACAUAAAGAUAAUUUUAAAAUAGCUAAUUUUUUGUGGUUGCCAAUUAUCUUUUUGCUGUAAAAUUAACUAAAUAUUCUGUCAAGAACAUAAAAGUGAAAAGAUUAGAAAAAGGAUAUAGUGAAGUAAAACUCAUGAGGAAAAAGAAAAGCAAAAACAAUUUAGUUUGGUACCCAUAUCUGCUGGUUCUGGAGGAUUUCACAGGUAACUGAGUAUCAAGCACAGUCUGCCCUCCAAAGUGGGGUUGCAGAGCAGUUAGCACAGGGUGAUAACACCAACUGGCUGAGGCCUUUGCUUCCCAGGUAAAGGACUGACUCAUUUGAGGAAAACUUCUGCAGCUGAGGGAAGGAGGGACCCAACAAUGAACUUCAUUUCCUACCCCUUCUGACUUAGCAUUGGAUAUACAAUUUGACACAAUCAAAAUGCUACCCAAGAAGCUUCAAAAUGUUCAGAUUAUCUUUAGAAACCCUCUCAAGAUCUUUGCAUAGAUGAGUACCUUUCAGUGCUCUGUGUACCUGUAUAUAGUUAAUGCCUCACAGCAAGUUCUACUGCAUAAAUUCUCUGGGCAAAAAAUUGAUCUGAAUACUUUGUCUGUUGUUCUGCCAAGCUUCAGAUCAGUAAAUGAAGUAAGCACAUGAUUUGAGGAAAUAAACAUGCUCACCAACCCAGGAAAAAAUCAGAAGAAACAAGAUCAACUUUCUAAUGUUUCUAAUGUUAUAAGUUAGACAUGUCAACAAAUAAUGACUGGUGCAAGAGCUGGGAUGAGCAUCUCAGAUUUUCCUUCUGGGCACUGACUUUCCCUUUGAUGUCAACUUUUUCUUUUUCUUUUUC
rnacentral:lncRNA from 1 species